rnacentral:rRNA from 1 species
AACGAACGCUGGCGGCAUGCCUAACACAUGCAAGUCGAACGAGACCUUCGGGUCUAGUGGCGCAUGGGUGCGUAACGCGUGGGAACCUGCCCUUAGGUUUGGAAUAACUCCCCGAAAGGGGUGCUAAUACCGGAUAUUGUCUUCGGACCAUAGAUUUAUCGCCUUUGGAUGGGCCCGCGUUGGAUUAGCUAGUUGGUAGGGUAAAAGCCUACCAAGGCGAGGAUCCAUAGCUGGUCUGAGAGGAUGAUCAGCCACACUGGGACUGAGACACGGCCCCGACUCCUACGGGAGGCAGCAGUGGGGAAUACUGGACAACGGGCGAAGGGCUGAUCCAGUCAUGACGCGUAAGUAAUGAAGGCCUUAGGGUUGUAAAGCACUUUUACCCGGGACGAUAAUGACAGUACCGGGAGGAUAAGCUCCGGCUAACUCCGUG